rnacentral:rRNA from 1 species
UACGUAGGGUGCAAGCGUUAAUCGGAAUUACUGGGCGUAAAGCGUGCGCAGGCGGUUCUAUAAGACAGAUGUGAAAUCCCCGGGCUCAACCUGGGAACUGCAUUUGUGACUGUAGAGCUGGAGUACGGCAGAGGGGGAUGGAAUUCCGCGUGUAGCAGUGAAAUGCGUAGAUAUGCGGAGGAACACCGAUGGCGAAGGCAAUCCCCUGGGCCUGUGCUGACGCUCAUGCACGAAAGCGUGGGGAGCAAACAGG